rnacentral:lncRNA from 1 species
GAAGGAAUGGGGGAACAAGAAACAUGAGCCUAUUCAGAACUAUGAAGUACUGAGGACUCCAGGACUACAAGUCCACAGUGAAGUAUCUGGAGGGUGGGCAAAGUGAUCAUCGUGGACAGAGUAAACCACACUGAAUUCAUGUUGUGGGAAGGAAGUAACCAUUGAUGGGCAUGGAAAUGAAAAAGUCAGAGUUCAUCUGGCUCCACCUUCUGAGGAGCUGGAGGAAGAAUAGAAGGUACAUCUUGGGUAGGGAAAUCUAUGUUGAAGACAUUGAAGGCCUGAUCCUAAGUAAGAGUGCCUAACUGGAAAGAAAUGCUGAUUUUCUAUAGGCCACUCCAAGAUAAAACCUGAUCAACAACAGCUGGAAGACCAUACAUAAUCAGCAAACAUUUCAAGAAAAAAAAUUUCAGAUGUGAUGUUGAAAGAAAUUGGAGGAAGAACAGAACUAUCUAUUCGAGUAGCUUAAAGAGGAAGUACAGCUUUUUCAAUGCAGUCUAAAGCAUUCAGACAUUCAGUGUCACCAAAUCUGAUAAAUUAAUGCAGUACUUCAAAGGGCAUUUAAUUCAAGAAUGCAGGAAGUAAUUCUUCAGGUGAGAAUCUGAUCAAAUUGUAAAGGAAAAUCAUGACAUUAGAACCAUGUAGGACUAUACAGUGGGCUUUGGGAACACUAAAA